UCCAGUGGUGCGACGACGCGCGGUAAGCCUCUUCUCCUCUCUCUGAUCUUUCACAUGUGCUAUGGAAUGGAAAAAAGAAAAAAAGGAGAGGAAAAAGAAAGAACAAAGUUACAGAAAAUAAUCACCUUUGAAGUGUUCUUGAUUGCUUUCAACUGAUUUUCGUGUGUAUCUUAUAUUAUAACUCGUAUUCUAUUUCUCUAAAAAAAAACCUUUACAAUUAAAAAUCGAAGGCUUUAUCGCCAAUAUACAAGCGGUUUCUACUGUUUCCUUGUCCAACUCGCAGGCCGUAAAGUUGUGGAGGACGAGGGGUGUGGAGCACGGGCGCGAACAUGGAGCGGGGCACACGGGGAUUAUGCGUGGAGUGUCGACAUAGGGUUGCGGCGUGGGUGACCUAGGUUUCCCUAGAUUAGCCGAUUAGAUUUAGAUUUUGGGCCAUGGGUAUUGGGCCUGUCUCAUGUAAUUGGGUUAACUUCAUUUUGGGCUUUGGGUUUAUAUUUGGGCCAGGCAAUUUUGGCCCAUUACAAGGCACAUAAUGGUUUAGAUAAAUUAUUGAUUGAACGCCUUUGAUUUAUGUCUAAACCAUUACUUAUAAUAACUAAACUUCCUAUUUCAACAUGAGAUUAUGUUGAUUUACGUGUUGUACACAUCAAGCCAAUAAAUUAUAAAUACUACCCAUUACAAUUAGUUUUUGAUCAAGAGUUAAA
rnacentral:lncRNA from 1 species